rnacentral:rRNA from 1 species
CCAAGCUACUAAGGGUCCAACGGUGGAUGCCUUGGCGCUAGGAGCCGAUGAAGGACGUGGAAGGCUGCGAUAAGCCCCGGUAAGCUGUCUAACAAGCGUUAUAACCGAGGAUGUCCGAAUGGGGAAACCCGGCUGUGGUAAUUCACAGUCACUCUGGUCUGAAUAUAUAGGACCAGUAGAGGUAAGCAGGGGAACUGAAACAUCUAAGUACCCUGAGGAAGAAAAAGAAAACUCGACUCCCUGAGUAGUGGUGAGCGAAACGGGACGAGCCUAAACCGAUGCGGUGUGAUAGUCCGAUGACGUUGCCGUAUCGGGGUCGUGGGACCUCAAUGAAUGCACAUCGGUGUGUUCGCAGAGUUACAAAACCAAUUGAUAGUCGAACCCUUCUGGAAAGUUGGGCCGUAGCGGGUAAAAGCCCCGUAGACGAAAUCAAUUGGACUCUGAUGAGUGUUCCCAAGUAGCACGGGAGAUAACCCGUGUGAAUCUGCGAGGACCACCUCGUAAGGCUAAGUACUUCCUAGCGACCGAUAGCGGAUAGUACCGUGAGGGAAUGGUGAAAAGUACCCCGGGAGGGGAGUGAAAUAGUACCUGAAACCGUGGACCUACAAGCAGUGGGAGGGUGCAACUUGUUGCACUUGACCGCCUGCCUUUUGAAGAAUGAGCCUGCGAGUCAAGGUGUGUGGCAAGGUUAAGACGUGUGUCGUAGCCGCAGCGAAAGCGAGUCUGAAUAGGGCGUACAGUCGCAUGCUAUGGACCCGAAGCCGAGUGAUCUAUCCAUGGGCAGGGUGAAGCGAAGGUAAGACUUCGUGGAGGCCCGAACCCACCUAGGUUAAAAACUGGGGGGAUGACCUGUGGAUAGGGGUGAAAGGCCAAUCAAACUCGGUGAUAGCUGGUUCUCCCCGAAAUAGCUUUAGGGCUAGCGUCUCGUGUUCCGUUAUGGGGGUAGAGCACUGAUUGGGUUAGGGGGCCUACAAGCUUACCAACCCCAGUCAAACUCCGAAUCUCAUAACGCUAGAACGAGGCAGUCAGACUGUGGGGGAUAAGCUCCAUGGUCGAAAGGGAAACAGCCCAGACCGCCGGUUAAGGUCCCUAAAUCUGAACUAAGUGGGAAACGAUGUGGGAUUGCCCAAACAGCCAGGAGGUUGGCUUAGAAGCAGCCACCCUUUAAAGAGUGCGUAACAGCUCACUGGUCGAGUGAUCCUGCGCGGAAAAUGUAACGGGGCUCAAGUUCAGUACCGAAACCGCGGAUUUCUAUCACUAUCCAGGCACACUUGUGUGUCCAGGAGAUAGGAGUGGUAGGGGAGCGUCGAGUGGCCAUCGAAGCGGCGGCGUGAGCCAGCCGUGGAGGCCACUCGAGUGAGAAUGCAGGCAUGAGUAGCGAAAGAGGAGUGAGAAUCUCCUCCGCCGAAUGUCCAAGGGUUCCUGGGGAAGGCUCGUCCGCCCAGGGUUAGUCUGGACCUAAGGUGAGGCCGAAAGGCGUAAUCGAUGGAUAACUGGUUGAUAUUCCAGUACCACCAUAUGGCCGCCCAGAACGAAUCUCGUUUGCUAAGGAAAGCCCUUCGGGGCCUACCGACCCAGCGGGUAGUAGUUCAGCGAUGGGGGGACGUGGAAGGGUAAGCGGACCCGGGCGUUGGUUGUCCCGGGGUAAGCGUGUAGGGCGAGGUCUAGGUAAAUCCGGACCUCACGAAGCCCGAGGCGCGAUGCCGAGCCGUUUUAGGCGAAGCCGCUGAACGCCCAUGCCACCAAGAAAAUCCUCUAGCUAGGACAUAUGGUGCCAGUACCCCAAACCGACACAGGUGGACAGGUAGAGAAUACCAAGGCGAGCGAGAUAACUAUGGUUAAGGAAUUCGGCAAAAUGGCUCCGUAACUUCGGGAUAAGGAGCGCCUCGGUAAGGUUAGAGACUUAGCGUCUCGAAGCUUGAGGAGGCCGCAGUGACUAGGCCCAAGCGACUGUUUACUAAAAACACAGCACGAUGCUAAGACGUAAGUCGACGUAUAUCGUGUGACGCCUGCCCGGUGCUGGAAGGUUAAGUGGAAUUGUUAGCUUCGGCAAAGCAUAGAAACUAAGCCCCAGUAAACGGCGGCCGUAACUAUAACGGUCCUAAGGUAGCGAAAUUCCUUGUCGGGUAAGACAAGGAACCUCGGCUUCGGUUGAGGUUUGAACUUGCCCUACGUGGAGGUGACUCCACGCAAACAACCCCGCUCAUAACGGCGAAGCCCUAGCUGCGAACAUGCAGUGGGUAAUGCCGUGGGAAGUCCUCUGCUCGGCGACGAGUAUGACCCCGUAACGACUGAACCGAAAGGUGAGGCAUCGUUUUCUGUCACACACAUCCGUCCGAUGAAUCGUGACAAAUCUAUAAACGAUGCAAUACGCGGGCUCUUGGCUAGGAAGCACUCAAGCAGUGUGCCCUACGCAUCAGGAGAUCAGCCGGCGGCUUCGGCCAACGGCAUUCUGACGAACCAUCCACGGUUCGAACAAGAUGAAGGCAUAGUCUGUGCCACUGGUAACAGGGGAACGAACAUGAAGUUCCGACCUGCACGAAUGGCGUAACGACUCGGGCACUGUCUCAACCAUAGACUCGGCGAAAUUGCAAUGUGAGUAAAGAUGCUCACUACGCGCGACAGGACGGAAAGACCCCGGAACCUUUACUGCAACUUGACAUUGGAGUCUGGUAUGUAAUGUGUAGGAUAGGUGGGAGACUGGGAAGCAGCGGCGCUAGUUGUUGUGGAGUCACCCUUGAAAUACCACCCUUUGCAUAUAGGCCUUCUAACUUCGGUCCAUUAUCUGGAUCAAGAACAGUGUCUGGUGGGCAGUUUAACUGGGGCGGUUGCCUCCUAAAGAGUAACGGAGGCGCCCAAUGGUUCCCUCAGUCUGGUCGGCAAUCAGACGAUGAGUGUAAAGGCACAAGGGAGCUUGACUGCAAGACAUACAGGUCGAGCAGGUACGAAAGUAGGGCUUAGUGAUCCUAUGGUGGCAAGUGGAAGCGCCAUAGCUCAACGGCUAAAAGGUACUCCGGGGAUAACAGGCUUAUCACGCCUAAGAGUACAUAUCGACGGCGUGGUUUGGCACCUCGAUGUCGGCUCGUCGCAUCCUGGGGCUGGAGCAGGUCCCAAGGGUCGGGCUGUUCGCCCGUUAAAGCGGCACGCGAGCUGGGUUUAGAACGUCGUGAGACAGUUCGGUCCCUAUCCGUCGCGCGCGUAAGAGAUUUGAAGGAAGCUGUCCCUAGUACGAGAGGACCGGGAUGGACGAACCUCUGGUGUGCCAGUUGUCCUGCCAAGGGCAUGGCUGGUUUGCUACGUUCGGACGGGAUAAGCGCUGAAAGCAUCUAAGUGCGAAGCCUCUCCUAAGAUGAGAUCUCUCACCGGGUAACCGGGUAAGACCCCUGGUAGAAGACCAGGUUGAUAGGCCAGAAGUGGAAGUGCGGUGACGCAUGUAGCUGACUGGUACUAAUCGGUCGAGGGCUUGGACU